GAUGAACGCUGGCGGCGUGCCUAAUACAUGCAAGUCGAGCGAACAGACGAGGAGCUUGCUCCUCCGACGUUAGCGGCGGACGGGUGAGUAACACGUGGAUAACCUACCUAUAAGACUGGGAUAACUUCGGGAAACAGGAGCUAAUACCGGAUAACAUGUUGAACCGCAGGGUUCAACAGUGAAAGACGGUCUUGCUGUCACUUAUAGAUGGAUCCGCGCCGCAUUAGCUAGUUGGUAAGGUAACGGCUUACCAAGGCAACGAUGCGUAGCCGACCUGAGAGGGUGAUCGGCCACACUGGAACUGAGACACGGUCCAGACUCCUACGGGAGGCAGCAGUAGGGAAUCUUCCGCAAUGGGCGAAAGCCUGACGGAGCAACGCCGCGUGAGUGAAGAAGGUCUUCGGAUCGUAAAACUCUGUUAUUAGGGAAGAACAAAUGUGUAAGUAACUAUGCACGUCUUGACGGUACCUAAUCAGAAAGCCACGGCUAACUACGUGCCAGCCGCCGCAGUAA
rnacentral:rRNA from 1 species